rnacentral:rRNA from 1 species
GACGAACGCUGGCGGCGUGCUUAACACAUGCAAGUCGAACGGAGUGGCGAACGGGUGAGUAACAAGUGGGUGCCCUGCCCUGCACUUCGGGAUCAGCCUGGGAAAAAGGGUCUAAUACCGGAUAGUGUGUGAUGGGCCCGUGGCCUAUAAGCUUGUUGGUGGGGUAAUGGCCUACAACGGCGGCGACGGGUAGCCGGACUGAGAGGGUGGACGGCCACAUUGGGACUGCGACACUGCCCAGAGCCCUACGGGGGGCAGCUGGGUGGAAUAUUGCACAAUGGGCGGAAGUCUGAUGCAGCGACGCCCCGUGGGGGAUGACGGCCUUCGGGUUGUAAACUCCUUUCACCAUCGACGCGGUAGAUGGAGAAUAAGCACCGGCUAACUACGUGCCAGCAGCCGCGGUAAUUC